AAAUUGAAGAGUUUGAUCAUGGCUCAGAUUGAACGCUGGCGGCAGGCCUAACACAUGCAAGUCGAGCGGAAACGAGUUAUCUGAACCUUCGGGGAACGAUAACGGCGUCGAGCGGCGGACGGGUGAGUAAUGCCUAGGAAGUUGCCCUGAUGUGGGGGAUAACCAUUGGAAACGAUGGCUAAUACCGCAUGAUGCCUACGGGCCAAAGA
rnacentral:rRNA from 1 species